UGCCAGUUUGACCACUGGUCUGCAUAAUAUCAGUGGGAGAGCAUGCUGAAUUCCGCAGCUUCUGCACCAUAUGUUUCCUGGCCGAGUGGUUGAAAGUUGCGACCACACAUUCCAUGGGUGAUGAUAUCUACCAAAAUUCUUGGCGGCACAGUUCUACCCUCGUCCGUUGCACUUGUCCGAGUCUUUCUCUGCCUCUCAACCAACUCGAGAUAUCCCCCCCCAACUGCAUCCCGGCACAGCUUCACAUCAACCCAUCUAAUUAAUUUGUCGGAAAGGUUGACUACACAAAUUUCCUGUUUGGUUGUGGAGAUAGAAUCAUUUUUUGUGAAAGUUUGAUUUCAGACACUUAAAAAUUGAAAUUGUCAUGUAUUAUUAGGCAUGGCAGGCAUUAGCAAAGCAUCUCAAUCAAGUAUUAAUUAUUUUACUUUGUCAAUGUUAAUUCAUUGUGUAUGCUAUUCACCUGUUUGCCUUGCUUUUUAUAAGAAUGACACAAAAAAGGAAAGCAUUUGUAAAGUAUUAGUUAAUUUUUUUUAAUAUAAUCUUAGACGAGAUGUUUAGUGAAUAUUUGUCAUAAAUUCUUCUUUAA